UACAGAGGUCUCAAGCGUUGUUCGGAUUCAUUGGGCGUAAAGGGUGCGUAGGCGGCGCGGUAAGUCGGGUGUGAAAUCUUGGAGCUUAACUCCGAAACUGCAUUCGAUACUGCCGUGCUUGAGGACUGGAGAGGAGACUGGAAUUUACGGUGUAGCGGUGAAAUGCGUAGAUAUCGUAAGGAAGACCAGUGGCGAAGGCGGGUCUCUGGGCCUUACCUGACGCUGAGGAGCGAAAGCAUGGGGAGCAAACAGG
rnacentral:rRNA from 1 species